GAUUUUAAUGAAACAGAAGCAAUUUAAGUGCUGAAACCUGCUCUUGGCCAUGCCUUGCAGUGGUUUAUUGAGCUGGGUUCUAUGCAGCGUUAAAGUUCAAAAUGGUUCAUCUUCUUAGGAACCUUGUUGCCCAACAUCCCUCCUAGUGAGCGGGCACCAGCUGAGAUUAUCUUGGGCACAUUUAAAUACCUACUGGAGGAAUUCUGGUUCUUCAUAACCCCAGGCAGGCAACUGGGGAUCAGUCACAACUGGCACCUAAGGCUGGCAGAAUGAAUCUAGGCACUGCUGGAUGUUUAGUUUGGAUUUUGUUCUAUUUCACUUUUAAAACUCCCAUUUAAAUUUUUAUUUCCUUUUUGCUUUUUGUAUCACCACUUCCAAUACAAUGUAGAAUCCUUCUGCUGGCAAAGAUACCAGAACAGUAGAUUGCCUAACGGGGAGAGCAUGGGUAUGGGAUCUUCAUCACUUGGGGCUUUAAAGGCAAGUUAGACAUUUGUCCCCGGAAUCGCACAUCUGCCAAGUGCAGAGAAAGAGUUGAAAAUGACUUUGGAUUCACCUCCACUGGUGAGGGCUGGCCUUAGGCUCGAAUUCCUCCCUUGAAGUUACGUGCUGGAGAAGAGAUGGAAGACAGCAGCUAUGUGUACAGAAAGCAUCCCAGAAAUCACAAAUUACUUGGGGAAACAGGGGAGCUUCAAAGAUCUUCAUGAGAACACCAGCUGCAGGCUGAUUCAUUGAACAGUCACUGGAUGCUAUCUCACUAGGAUGUUACUUGGUGAAAAUCUAUUUUGAAUGUCUGGUGGCGUCUUUGCGCUAAUUUGGAAUAGAAACUUUCAGCAGGGAUUGUUAAAGUGCUAUAGUGGCUAUGCCAAAUCAGACUAAAUAUCACUCUAGCCAAGAAAUCUUUUGCCAGUAGCAAAUGCCCAUAGUAGAACCAGGACAAACAUGUACUCCCCUGUAUACUUCUCCCAGUGAUUCCAGUGACAUUACCAAAAGCAAUGAGUUUUAGGGGAAGCUGUUAACACACUGCUUUACAGGAUUUAUCUCAUGUGAUUGUGCAGAUUCCAGACUUGGGGAACAUCACAUAAAUACAGACUAUGCAUUUCUGACUGUCAGGCAAGACUUCAGCACAGUGAAAGGUGAAUUUGCAUGGUCAUUUUCAUCUUUCUUAAGUGAAACUUCCCACUGAAAGGGAAGCUGACUCCAAGUAAACUCUGGAUGUUAUAAAAGAUACAAACAGAAUGUUAGUGGCUUACUUGUUUAUGUCCUCUUUAUUAACUGGUUUCUGGUUGAGGGUACACAUGCUCUCACUUUUGCUAACUGAUGAAAACACUUGAAGCAACAGCCGAGCCUCUUCAGUGUGACAAUUCACUGUGUCUUGGAAUAAAAGAGAAAAAAAUUGUCACCAUUCAAUACUGUCUUCACAUCCUGGAACCUCGCUCUUGCAAAAUCUGAAACAGACCAAUG